ACUCCUACGGGGAGGGCAGCUAGUCAGGGGUGGGAAAUAUUUGGCACAAAUGGGGCGCAAGCCUGAUGCAGCCAUGCCGCGUGUGUGAAGAAGGCCUUCGGGUUGUAAAGCACUUUCAGUCGUGAGGAAGGUAGUGUAGUUAAUAGCUGCAUUAUUUGACGUUAGCGACAGAAGAAGCACCGGCUAACUCCGUGCCAGCAGCCGCGGUAAUACGGAGGGUGCGAGCGUUAAUCGGAAUUACUGGGCGUAAAGCGCAUGCAGGUGGUUUGUUAAGUCAGAUGUGAAAGCCCGGGGCUCAACCUCGGAAUUGCAUUUGAAACUGGCAGACUAGAGUACUGUAGAGGGGGGUAGAAUUUCAGGUGUAGCGGUGAAAUGCGUAGAGAUCUGAAGGAAUACCGGUGGCGAAGGCGGCCCCCUGGACAGAUACUGACACUCAGAUGCGAAAGCGUGGGGAGCAAACAGGAUUAGAUACCCUGGUAGCUACGAGU
rnacentral:rRNA from 1 species